AGAGUUUGAUCCUGGCUCAGAGCGAACGCUGGCGGCAGGCUUAACACAUGCAAGUCGAGCGGGCCCUUCGGGGUCAGCGGCAGACGGGUGAGUAACACGUGGGAACGUACCCUUUGGUUCGGAAUAACGCUGGGAAACUAGCGCUAAUACCGGAUACGCCCUUUUGGGGAAAGGCUUGCUGCCGAAGGAUCGGCCCGCGUCUGAUUAGCUAGUUGGUGGGGUAAUGGCCUACCAAGGCGACGAUCAGUAGCUGGUCUGAGAGGAUGAUCAGCCACACUGGGACUGAGACACGGCCCAGACUCCUACGGGAGGCAGCAGUGGGGAAUAUUGGACAAUGGGCGCAAGCCUGAUCCAGCCAUGCCGCGUGAGUGAUGAAGGCCUUAGGGUUGUAAAGCUCUUUUGUCCGGGACGAUAAUGACGGUACCGGAAGAAUAAGCCCCGGCUAACUUCGUGCCAGCAGCCGCGGUAAUACGAAGGGGGCUAGCGUUGCUCGGAAUCACUGGGCGUAAAGGGCGCGUAGGCGGCCAUUCAAGUCGGGGGUGAAAGCCUGUGGCUCAACCACAGAAUUGCCUUCGAUACUGUUUGGCUUGAGUUUGGUAGAGGUUGGUGGAACUGCGAGUGUAGAGGUGAAAUUCGUAGAUAUUCGCAAGAACACCAGUGGCGAAGGCGGCCAACUGGACCAACACUGACGCUGAGGCGCGAAAGCGUGGGGAGCAAACAGGAUUAGAUACCCUAGUAGUCC
rnacentral:rRNA from 1 species